UUUCUGGGUUAGCGGAGUGUGUAACCUGAAGCGUAUGUAACCUGAGGUACCACUGUAUUGGUAUCUCUCAAUAACUAGUGCUGAGUUCUUAGUUUACUCUUACUUUAAAUCACGAGAAAGCUUUAUGCCAUAGAACAAUAAAAUAGUGAAAGAAACAUGGGUAACUUUCUUAUAUCACUCCCCCCCCCCCAAAGACUUACCUCCAGGAAAGUUGCAUCCUAUACCCACAAUAGCUAUUUCAUUCUCACACGCCAUCUUUAUUUUAUUUUUCUACUUGUGUUGGUCACUGAAGAAGGCAAUCGUCCUGUGGAAAAGAAGGCAGAGUUGAUCUCCUGCAGGUGUCCCUGUGCCAUGUGCUUCAAUAUAUUGCACAACAGAUGGAUCAACAUGAUCUGGGUAGAUGCUGAGCAGCAACCUCUCCUGUUCCUCUUGAGAUGGUCUGGUGAUUGGUGUGACGGAUCUUCCAUUCUGGUUGACUGCACUCACGCUAAUGACACCCCAUAUUUUGCUGAAGUCUUCCUGCGCCUAUUUUAAAGAAGAUGAAAAGAGUGGGCUGAAUUACAUUAGCACGUGUUACCUGUUGACAUCAAUUAAAGUUCAUUUGUUCAAUAAGUAUAGGGACUCCUGCAUCUUCCAGUGCUCUAUACGUGCAUUCCAGGAGUAAUUUCUGCUGGGGAUCCAUACGCUCAGCUUCCACAUCAUUAAUUCCAAAAAGUCU